GAUUACUAUUUUCUUGCUUGUGGUUUCGACAAAUUUACUUGCGUUUGGAUAAGGGAAUCAUGUUGGGUAAAUUUGGAUGCCAAUGGCAGUUUAUCAGAUCUUCCACAAGGAAAGGCGCUGGUAUAUAUUUCAAAAAACUGUAAUCAUCAACAAUCUACUUUAAAAUCCCCGUUAAUCAACAAUACUCAGGGCGCCUAUUGCUUCUUAAUGCAGUACCAGGUAGUUGGUGACGCCUCUCUUAGCAUCUUUCUCACGAUCG